CGGACGGGUGAGUAACGCGUGAGAAUCUGCCCUCAGGAGGGGGAUAACGGCUGGAAACGGCCGCUAAUACCCCAUAUGCCGAGAGGUGAAAUGAAUUUCGCCUGAGGAUGAGCUCGCGUCUGAUUAGCUAGUUGGUAGGGUAAAGGCCUACCAAGGCUUCGAUCAGUAGCUGGUCUGAGAGGAUGAUCAGCCACACUGGGACUGAGACACGGCCCAGACUCCUACGGGAGGCAGCAGUGGGGAAUUUUCCGCAAUGGGCGAAAGCCUGACGGAGCAACGCCGCGUGAGGGAUGAAGGCCUCUGGGCUGUAAACCUCUUUUAUCAAGGAAGAAGAUCUGACGGUACUUGAUGAAUAAGCCACGGCUAAUUCCGUGCCAGCAGCCGCGGUAAUACGGGAGUGGCAAGCGUUAUCCGGAAUUAUUGGGCGUAAAGCGUCCGCAGGCGGUCUUACAAGUCUGUCGUUAAAGCGUGGAGCUUAACUCCAUUUCAGCGAUGGAAACUGUAAGACUAGAGUGUGGUAGGGGCAGAGGGAAUUCCCGGUGUAGCGGUGAAAUGCAUAGAUAUCGGGAAGAACACCAGUGGCGAAGGCGCUCUGCUGGGCCAUAACUGACGCUCAUGGACGAAAGCCAGGGGAGCGAAAGGGAUUAGAUACCCCUGUAGUC
rnacentral:rRNA from 1 species